UACGAAGGGGGCUAGCGUUGCUCGGAAUCACUGGGCGUAAAGGGUGCGUAGGCGGGUCUUUUAAGUCAGGGGUGAAAUCCUGGAGCUCAACUCCAGAACUGCCUUUGAUACUGGAGAGCUUGAGUCCGGAAGAGGUGAGUGGAACUCCGAGUGUGGAGGUGAAAUUCGUAGAUAUUCGGAAGAACACCUGCGGCGAAGGCGGGUUGCUGGGCUGAUACUGACGCUGAGGCGCGAAAGCUAGGGGAGCGAACGGG
rnacentral:rRNA from 1 species